ensembl:lncRNA
CCUCACUUAAGGGUUGACCCUUGCUAGGAAGGGGUCUCUGAUUGGAGAUCUUUUCUCUGCAGAAGUUUCUUCUGCAAGCCUAGAUCCUCAGAGACUGCAUUCAGGAACAUCUGCAAGUUGGUCCAAAAGGUAUAUGGAAGCCCCAGGGAGAAGACAACUGUACCAUACCUCACAACAAAGUCAACAGGUACUGAUGAAAGAAGUGUGACGUCCAAGAACCACCUUCGGUAUUGCCCAAAUUCUUUCAUAACAGGCCAUCUUACUGCAGGAUGCUAUACUGCCAUGCCUUACCAAAACAAAGUUUGCCAGGACUAGAAGAGACCUGCCAGAUGAUAAAUGUUAUGAAGAAUAUGGUGACAUUUAGAAGAGAGAUCUGAGGAAAGUUAUCUCUCUGUCACUUUUUUCAGAAGCACUUUACAAGCUCCUUGUGCCCCCCAGUCUCCUUGCUGGCUGGACAAUAUGAGAAGCUGAGAAACAGAACUGUUCUUGGCUCCAUGCAGCACUGCUCAGCAACAGCUAGAAACACUGAUUUGUUAUCAGCAUUUUUUUUCUCCUAAGCAUCAUACCAGACACCAUGAAGGAAAAUUCAACUCUGUCCCAGCUGAAACCAGGAAAGAAUUAUAUGAAAUUCUCAGCAUCAUAUACAAUAGAUCCUUUCCUG